rnacentral:tRNA from 1 species
UAGUUAAUUAGCUAUAAAUAAGCAUAUAUUUUGAAAAUAUAAAAAAGAAACAUAUUCUAUUAACUU